rnacentral:rRNA from 1 species
AUUGAACGCUGGCGGCAGGCCUAACACAUGCAAGUCGAGCGAGCGGCGGACGCGUGUGUAAUGUCUGGGAGAAAGCGCGAUGGAGGGGGAUAACUCCAGGAAACGGUAGAUAAUACACCGUAUCCUCAGAGGUGUGCCCAGGGGAUUUGCUAGUGGGUGGGGUAACGGCUCACCGAGGCGACGAUCCCCAGCUGGUCUGAGAGGAGGACCAGCCACACUGGAACUGAGACACGGGCCAGACUCCUACGGGAGGCAGCAGUGGGGAAUAUUGCACAAUGGGCGCAAGCCUGAUGCAGCCAUGCCGCGUGUGUGAAGAAGGCCUUCGGGUUGUAAAGCACUUUCAGCGGGGAGGCGUUACUCGCAGAAGAAGCACCGGCUAACUCCGUGCCAGCAGCCGCGGUAAUAC